UCUCACUCAACUGAAGCCCCGCCCAUUAAACGAAAUGCUUCUGCUAACCUCACCUCAAACUGUCUUGUAUUGGUAUUGUGAUGCAGAUGCAGAUGCAGACACAGACACAGACACAAUGGACGAUCAAUCAAUACAAUACACUGAUCAGCUCUCAUCUACUAUUCGGUUUCAAGAUGUCAUGAACCAGGAGAGGAAUUGUUGGCAACGAUGAUGCCAACAAGUGUCAGAUUUUCAUGGCAAUCAAAUCAAUGUGAAGAACACCAAUGCUGACCAGUAGCACACAUUCAAUCAAAUCAUUACCUUAUCAUUAUGGAUAUAACCGCUUCAAAAUGAAAUCUAGCAAAACCAUGUUGGCAGAGAAAUAAAACGACCAAGAGUGGAAUAAUGAUGGUGCCAAUGAGCACCAUAAUGGCAACCAUAGGCAAGCAAAUCAAGAGAAUGAAAUAAACCACAAAUAAGUCUGUAUUGACAAUGAGUUAGGUAAAGACUUGGAAAGGAUAUCCCCGCCAAAGUACAAUGGAUCAGCUUUUGGAGAUGAUGCUGAGACCUAGCGAAUAGAAAAGGCUAGGUACUUUGAGCCUCUAACUGGUGUAAAUACUGCAACACUGAAAAGAAAUUGACACUUCAAAAAACCACAAGGGAUCAUAUUGUGGCUUUGUUUAGGGAAAGCUAGCUGACUAAGUUGUACUUUGAUUUAAAAAGCAACUAGAUUUCAUAUUAAAGGAGAUAUUAACAGAGCUACAAGACUCACCAGGGCUCACCCAAACUCAGUAAAUCCUAAGGCGGGCAAACCUAACCAAGGCCCAAAGUCUCAAGACCCACAUGCCCAACGAGUCCAACCAGACUCUCCAGAUCUACUAGACUCACCAAAUGUCGCAAGUCUUGUCACUGUAACUCAGUAAAAUCAAGCAUGCAAAUUAUAAAAAAAAACAGAAUAGAAAUUUGAAAACACUCAAACCUAACAGUCUAAUAGUUAGGGCCUAAUUAUUGCUCUAUGGCUUCCACACUUAUUUUUAAGGGUUUGGAGGACAAUUGGACCUUGGUUAAAGCAAUAAAUUUAUGAAAAUUAGCAUGUGCCAUGAGCCUCUAUGUGAUCUCAAAGGCUUUUAAUUUGGGCAUGGGGUACUACCCCUUGAUCAAUGUAUACUUGUGCAUGCGAUCAAAGUAACUUCUAAUUGAUAAGUUUAUUGUCUUUAAAGUUGAUGUAUUGAAGGGUGCAUAGUAAAAUAUUUAAAUCCUUUAAAAAUCUUUAAAUUUCAUAAUUUUUUCAGUUUACCAAAUUUGAGUGCCAAGUACGAGUUUGAGUAAAAUAUCAGCUUGCCAAGUCCAAGCUGAAUUUCAGUCUUGUAACUAUGGAUAUCAUAGUUAUUAAGUAUCAGAGAAAAUUCAUUGCCUCACGCCAUUGCCAACCAGACUUCUUGGGCGGUUAACCUUCUCAAGUUGAUCAUUUCUUGUGAGGUCUUAAAUCCUGAGUCAGGGAUUACAUUGAAGUUUAUGCACCACUAUAUAUCGAGCUAUGUUCCACUGAGUUUCAAGGACGGGGACAACGGGAUGUGUUUCUGGUAUGGGGGUAUUUUUAGGCCAGUCUUUAGGUGACGGCAGGGGACAGCUAUUAACAAUAUAGGGGAAUUUUUUUAAAUAUAGAGAAAUUUCAAAUAUUAUGCAUUGAUAAAGCAUAUUGGAUAAUUAGAAUUAUAGUUAUGUUUCUGAUUAUAAGGAUAAACAAUCUGCAUACUCAUCUUCACCGCAGUAUCCAUGUCUCAAAUGAUAGGAGAUAUUUAACGAUGCACAUUAGAGUAAGAAGAAACAACAGCAUAACUCCCAUCCUUCUUACCAUUCUCUAAAGAAGAAAAAAUAUCCAAGCCACAGUCCACCAACUCGUAGAGAACCUUUGAAUCCCUAAGGGCAACAUUAUGGAGAGAAAAAACAGCAUCAUUCUCACAAGGCACCCACACAACCUCCAAAAAAGAAGCAACAUCCCACUCUAUAACCCACACAAUCUCUGGAGAAGCAACGUCUCCCUUUAAAACCCUAUGGCCCACACUAAAAGGAGAUAAAACAUCAUCCUUAAUAGUGUUAAGCUACAACCCCAACUCCACUAGAGCAAAAGAAGGCUCCACAGAAUUUUGUUCCAAUUUGGAGGGCAAAAACCCUUUUUUUAGACCCAAAAAAGUAACACCAACAUUAACCUCAGCCUCAUCCUCUCUAGCAAACUUUUCCACCUUGAUCUCUAUCAAUUUUGUCCUCCUCAGCCUCUAGCAAACUUUUUCUACUUCAAACGGGCUUCCAUAUCCAUCCAAGAGGAGUUUGUCCUAAUCAUCUAGAUAAUCCUUUGGAUCCACAACUCCAUCUCCAUCAAAAGGAGAAAAAACCCAUCAGAAAGAGAAGGGUAAUUUCUUUGCAUUCCCCACAAAUCACACCAAAAGGGCCACCGAUAGCCUCUGCAACAGCCUUAGCACCAGAAGAAAGUGCUAAAACAGGGGUAUUGAGCCCCUCAUCUCCCACAUCUUGCACCCCAUCUCCCACAUCCUCAUCAUCCACUAUUGAAUCCAAUCCCCUCAUAGUGGACACCCUUGAUGUCCUUGCUGAGAUAGCAGCAGAGAAAACUCUAGCUACCCUCACAGUCUCCACCUUUACUCUCACUUUUGUCACCCUUCACUUCCUCAUCCCUUACCAAUUGCAUCUAUUGAUUAGGGAAAGCCAUAUAUUUUUUUUGUUUUGAAAGGAAGCUAAGGUGAGGAAAACACUUCGUAACACUAAUCUAUUGGGGUAGAUAAUGCAAAUUUUCUUACUUAUCUUAAUUUGGUAUAGAAUAAGAAACACAUACAGAAGGAGAUAUACAACAUGCAAAUAAAUUAACAAUAAACACAAGAUAUAUCGUGGGGAAAACCCUUUCGAGAGAAAAAACCCACACUCCAAAAGCUGCCAUAUAUAUUAUUCAGAAAACACAACAGAAUACAUGCAGAGCAAGCUUCUCACAUAAGCAUCACCAAGCAAAGAUCCAAAGGUAACUCAAUACCUAUAAGACACUUACACAACCUCCAUCUCACACACCUAAUAUAUAGGAGACACAAUACAUGAAACUGUCAAAUGGUAUUCCACAACAAUGAGCUAAACCCACCCUAAAAAGUGGCACCCAACUUAUCUCCAAUCCAAGAUGCCCUAUGAUGUGUCAACACACACACCAACACGUGUAGCUCCCUUUUACAGCUCCCUUAUGUGUCCAAUAUAUUUUUAUAUUUCCUAUUUUAAGAGACCCAACUUCCGGAGGCCAUAACUUUUGAACCAAGUGUUUGAUUAAUGAAUCAUUUGAACUGUUAGAAAGCUCACAACAUAAAUGAUCUAUCAAACUAUAACCUUCUAUGCUAGUUAGAGACACUUUUGGGCCAUUUUGAAAGCCUCUAAGGCCCUCAAAAUUGACUGAAACUUUCGUUCGCAAUUUUCAAAAAUAGAAACUUUAAUAUCUUCAAAUCUAAACAUGAUCUUGCAACAAAAAUUUACCAGCAUGCAUAACUAGCCAAUUUGAAGCUUUGCGGAAAAUUUCGGACUAAUUCGUGCACAAAAUGAAAACUUACUAUAAAUAGUAAUCUUAUGUAAAUGCAAGGUUGAGACACCAUUUUUCUAACAUGUUUUUGUCAUUUUAUAGUUGAAACUUGAAUCCUUUGGGCAUUUUGUUAAGAUCACUAUAUAAAUAUAUGCACGAUUGACAAUAAAAUCAUUUGAAUUUUGUUAAUUUGUUUGUCAAUUCUCAUGUGAAAUCUCA